ACCGAAAUUAUGUAAUUUUCUGUUAAACACCGGAAGUUGUGUUUUGUUUCCGGGAGCUUGACACCUAAACACCGGAAGUUGUGUUUCGUUUCCGGGAGCUUGACACGCGCGAUUCUUUAGAAACCAGAGCGUCUUCUCACGUGAGUUCAGUUAGUUUUCACAGCUUAAUUUCAAUGUCUGUUUUCUUGUGAUCUUUAAACAUGUAAACAUUGUGCAUUUUAUUUCUGUUAGAUUGAAUUAUAUCAGCUGCAUUUACGUGCAAUUUAGUUCGGUCGGCCCCUCCCCCUCCCAGAGUAAAGCAGGUGGGAGCAACAUAGAGGGAAACCCUGCACUUAGCACCCUUGGCAAGCGAAGCGAGUUUUCACGGUGCCAAACGAAAUAAAACUACUGCACCCGUCAGAAGCUCUCUUCUGUUCCUUUGAGACCAAGGCUGCUACAGUGAAAACUCGACGCGCAUCUUAGGAGUACGGGAUCUUCAGUAUCUACAUCCAGAUGCUUCAGACAGAGAAGAUUUCAACUGAGAGAGACAAUUUAUUUUAAGGAAGGUACUGUUCUACUACAAUCACUCCGCCAACUGGACUGUAAUAUUCAACUUAAAAAAUAAAAAAAAA